GGUUGUAGCUCAGUGGUAGAGCACUCGCCUAGCACAUGUGAGGCACUGGGUUCAAUCCUCAGCACCA
rnacentral:tRNA from 1 species